rnacentral:rRNA from 1 species
CCUACGGGAGGCUGCAGUGGGGAAUAUUGGACAAUGGGGGCAACCCUGAUCCAGCCAUGCCGCGUGUGUGAAGAAGGCCCUCGGGUUGUAAAGCACUUUCAGUGAGGAAGAACGCCUGGUGGUUAAUACCCAUCAGGAAAGACAUCACUCACAGAAGAAGCACCGGCUAACUCCGUGCCAGCAGCCGCGGUAAUACGGAGGGUGCGAGCGUUAAUCAGAAUUACUGGGCGUAAAGCGCGCGUAGGUGGCUUGAUAAGCCGGUUGUGAAAGCCCCGGGCUCAACCUGGGAACGGCAUCCGGAACUGUCAAGCUAGAGUGCAGGAGAGGAAGGUAGAAUUCCCGGUGUAGCGGUGAAAUGCGUAGAGAUCGGGAGGAAUACCAGUGGCGAAGGCGGCCUUCUGGACUGACACUGACACUGAGGUGCGAAAGCGUGGGUAGCAAACAGGAUUAGAUACCCUUGUAGUC